rnacentral:rRNA from 1 species
UGGAUCCUGCCGGACCCUACUGCUAUCGGGGUGGGACUAAGACAUGCGAGUCGAACGCUUCACAGCCAUGAGUGAAGCGUGGCAUACGGCUCAGUAACACGUGGCUAACCUACCCUCGAGACAGGGACAACCCCGGGAAACUGGGGCUAAUCCCCGAUAGAUGAGAACACCUGGAACGGGUUCUCGUCCAAAAGGUGCUAGGAUCAUGCUUCCUGGCGUCGCUCAAGGAUGGGGCCGCGUCCGAUCAGGCUGUUGGUGAGGCAACGGCUCACCAAACCUAUAACCGGUACGGGCCGUGGGAGCGGGAGCCCGGAGAUGGGAACUGAGACAAGGUCCCAGGCCCUACGGGGCGCAGCAGUUACGAAAACUUGUCAAUGCACGAAAGUGUGAACGGGCUACCCCAAGUGCCGUCCGCUGAGGAUGGCUUUUCUCCGCUGUAAGAAAGCGGAGGAAUAAGGCGAGGGCAAGUCUGGUGUCAGCCGCCGCGGUAAUACCAGCUCGCCGAGUGGUAGGGAUGAUUAUUGGGCCUAAAGCGUCCGUAGCCGGCCUUCCAAGUCUCCUGUUAAAUCCAGCGAUUCAAUCGUUGGACUGCAGGAGAUACUGUAAGGCUAGGAGGCGGGAGAAGCCGACGGUAUUUUCGGGGUAGGGGUAAAAUCCUAUAAUCCCGGGAAGACCACCAGUGGCGUAGGCGGUCGGCUAGCACGCGCUCGACGGUGAGGGACGAAAGCUGGGGGAGCGAACCGGAUUAGAUACCCGGGUAGUCCCAGCUGUAAACGAUGCGGGCUAGGUGUUGGAGCGGCUACGAGCCGCUCCAGUGCCGCAGGGAAGCCAUUAAGCCCGCCGCCUGGGGAGUACGGCCGCAAGGCUGAAACUUAAAGGAAUUGGCGGGGGAGCACCACAAGGGGUGAAGCUUGCGGUUUAAUUGGAGUCAACGCCGG